GCCUCCGUAGCUCAGGUGGAUAGAGCGCAUGACUUCUAAUCUUGUGGUCGCAGGUUCGAGUCCUGCCGGGGGCGCCG
rnacentral:tRNA from 2 species